UGGGGAAUAUUGCACAAUGGGCGCAAGCCUGAUGCAGCCAUGCCGCGUGUGUGAAGAAGGCCUUCGGGUUGUAAAGCACUUUCAGCGAGGAGGAAGGUGGUGAGCUUAAUACGCUCAUCAAUUGACGUUACUCGCAGAAGAAGCACCGGCUAACUCCGUGCCAGCAGCCGCGGUAAUACGGAGGGUGCAAGCGUUAAUCGGAAUUACUGGGCGUAAAGCGCACGCAGGCGGUUUGUUAAGUCAGAUGUGAAAUCCCCGGGCUCAACCUGGGAACUGCAUUUGAAACUGGCAAGCUAGAGUCUCGUAGAGGGGGGUAGAAUUCCAGGUGUAGCGGUGAAAUGCGUAGAGAUCUGGAGGAAUACCGGUGGCGAAGGCGGCCCCCCUGGACGAAGACUGACGCUCAGGUGCGAAAGCGUGGGGCAGCAAACAGGAUUAGAUACCCUGGUAGUCCACGCUGUAAAACGAUGUCGAUUUGGAGGUUGUGCCCUUGAGGCGUGGCUUCCGGAGCUAACGCGUUAAAUCGACCGCCUGGGGAGUACGGCCGCAAGGUUAAAACUCAAAGGAAUUGACGGGGUCUAGCUG
rnacentral:rRNA from 1 species